rnacentral:tRNA from 1 species
GGAGACGUAGCUCAAUUGGUUAGAGCACUUGCCUGUCACGCAAGAGGUCGAGGGUUCGAGUCCCUUCGUCUUCG